rnacentral:sRNA from 1 species
GACCCAUAAAAUCAAUCCCCCAUACAUCAAAGAUCUCAACUUCCACGAUUGGAUUCUGAGGCAUCUCAUUUAUUCUGCUGAUGUUGUCUUUUCUCUGGCAUGAAUCACACUUUGAAACAAACUCCUGAGCGUCCUUAAACAUUGUUGGCCACCAAAAGCCUGCUUGAAGAAUCUUGGACACUGUCUUGAACGUCGCGAAGUGACCACCAUAUGCUGAGCAAUGGCAAUGCAGCAGGAUACCUUCCACUUCAUCUUCUGAGACACAUCUCCUGUAGAUCUUAUCUUUAAUCCCAGUAGUAAUGGUGUAUGUCUCUGAAAAACUUCUUCCUUUCAUAACUUGUCAGGUUGGGAGGCUCUACUCCGCACGCCAAGUAAUUG